rnacentral:rRNA from 1 species
AUACAUGCAAGUCGAACGCGUCUCCGUUAAUGAUUUUAGGUGCUUGCACUUGAAAGAUUUAACAUUGAGACGAGUGGCGAACUGGUGAGUAACACGUGGGUAACCUGCCCUUGAAGUAGGGGAUAACACUUGGAAACAGGUGCUAAUACCGUAUAACAACCAAAACCACCUGGUUUUGGUUUAAAAGACGGCUUCGGCUGUCACUUUAGGAUGGACCCGCGGCGUAUUAGCUUGUUGGUAAGGUAACGGCUUACCAAGGCGAUGAUACGUAGCCGACCUGAGAGGGUAAUCGGCCACAUUGGGACUGAGACACGGCCCAAACUCCUACGGGAGGCAGCAGUAGGGAAUCUUCCACAAUGGACGAAAGUCUGAUGGAGCAACGCCGCGUGAGUGAUGAAGGGUUUCGGCUCGUAAAACUCUGUUGUUGGAGAAGAACAGGUGUCAGAGUAACUGUUGACAUCUUGACGGUAUCCAACCAGAAAGCCACGGCUAACUACGUGCCAGCAGCCGCGGUAAUACGUAGGUGGCAAGCGUUGUCCGGAUUUAUUGGGCGUAAAGCGAGCGCAGGCGGUUUUUUAGGUCUGAUGUGAAAGCCUUCGGCUUAACCGGAGAAGUGCAUCGGAAACCGGGAGACUUGAGUGCAGAAGAGGACAGUGGAACUCCAUGUGUAGCGGUGAAAUGCGUAGAUAUAUGGAAGAACACCAGUGGCGAAGGCGGCUGUCUGGUCUGUAACUGACGCUGAGGCUCGAAAGCAUGG